UAGUGAUACGAACAUUACUUGCCAUGAC
rnacentral:piRNA from 1 species